rnacentral:rRNA from 1 species
CCCCUAGUACGGCGAGUGAAGCGGGAACAGCUCAAUUUGAAAGCUGGCCUUCUGGUCCGCAUUGUAAUUUGUAGAGGAUGCUUUUGGCGCGGUGCCUUCUGAGUUCCUUGGAACAGGACGCCUUAGAGGGUGAGAGCCCCGUACAGUUGGACACCUAGCCUUUGUAAAGCUCCUUCGACGAGUCGAGUAGUUUGGGAAUGCUGCUCUAAAUGGGAGGUAAAUUUCUUCUAAAGCUAAAUACCGGCCAGAGACCGAUAGCGCACAAGUAGAGUGAUCGAAAGAUGAAAAGCACUUUGAAAAGAGGGUUAAAUAGCACGUGAAAUUGUUGAAAGGGAAGCGCUUAUGACCAGACUUUUUCCUGGCGGAUCAUCCGGCGUUCUCGCCGGUGCACUUCGCCAGGUUUAGGCCAACAUCGAUUUCCGCCGGGGGAUAAAGGCUUCGGGAAUGUGACUCCCUCCGGGGAGUGUUAUAGCCCGUUGCGCAAUACCCUGGGUGGGGAUCGAGGUUCGCGCUUCGGCAAGGAUGUUGGCAUAAUGGUCAUCAGUGACCCGUCUUGAAACACGGACCAAGGAGUCGAACAUUUGUGCGAGUGUUUGGGUGUCAAACCCUCACGCGUAAUGAAAGUGAACGGAGGUGAGAGCCUUAGGGUGCAUCAUCGACCGAUCCUGAUGUCUUCGGAUGGAUUUGAGUAAGAGCAUAAAUGUUCGGACCCGAAAGAUGGUGAACUAUGCGUGGAUAGGGUGAAGCCAGAGGAAACUCUGGUGGAGGCUCGCAGCGGUUCUGACGUGCAAGAUGAGAUCGUCAAAUCUGCGCAUGGGGCGAAAGA